rnacentral:lncRNA from 1 species
UUUUAUUACUGUUAAAAGUAAAGUUCUAUGCAAGAUUAUUUUUUUUUAUUAUUAUUUAACUUAAAAUUAUAUGUUCAUUUGCUUUGAAUUUCACUUCUUCUUAUAAAUAUUAUCAACGUGAAAUAUGUAUUAGCCGGUAUGAUAGACAUCCAGUGGGCAGAUUAGGACCACCAACAUAUUACUUUACAAGAUAAUUUGAAAGGAUGAAACGCCACGAUUAUUGACUCCCGGUGAAUUUUUUACACUUUAUUGUGAUGAAUUUCAAUGGUAAUUUAUACCAUCAAAUUCUAUGUAACAGUUAAUAUUAUUAUUUGAAUUUGCAACAUAAACAUUCAUCCUUGUUUGCAACAGUUGGUAUUUUGAGGAGAUUUUAUUCGACUGCAUGAGAUAUAUGACAACAAACACGAUUUCUUUAUGUAAAAUACAAGACCAGAAAUUCAAUAAACAUGGGAUUACACGCCAAACAAUAAAUUUGUUCGCAUAAAAACGCCUCAUACAAC